rnacentral:lncRNA from 1 species
CAAAUAGACCGAACCGAGCUUUCAAUUGAGCCUUUUACCUAUGAGUACCAUCGGGUGCGUCCAAAAUGGUUUCUUAGCCUAUGCUGCAUUAUGUGCAAACUUUGCACUUAUCUUGCACCGAAACUAACAUUGUCUCAAAGCAGACCAAAGCAAGAUUUUGUACGACACACGUCAUCUACGAGUUCCAUCAUGUGCGUCC